AUCCGGCUCUUUUAGGGUCCGAGUUGUAAUUUGUAGAAGAUGCUUUGGGUGUGGCACCGGUCUAAGUUCCUUGGAACAGGACGUCAUAGAGGGUGAGAAUCCCGUACGUGACUGGCCGCCUUCGCCUAUGUAAAGCUCUUUCGACGAGUCGAGUUGUUUGGGAAUGCAGCUCAAAAUGGGUGGUAAAUUUCAUCUAAAGCUAAAUAUUGGCCAGAGACCGAUAGCGCACAAGUAGAGUGAUCGAAAGAUGAAAAGCACUUUGGAAAGAGAGUUAAACAGUACGUGAAAUUGUUGAAAGGGAAGCGCUUGCAACCAGACUUGCGCGUAGUUGAUCAUCCGGUGUUCUCACCGGUGCACUCGGCUGCGCUCAGGCCAGCAUCGGUUUCGGUGGUUGGAUAAAGGCCCUAGGAACGUAGCUCCUCUCGGGGAGUGUUAUAGCCUAGGGUGCAAUGCAGCCUACCGGGACCGAGGACCGCGCUUCGGCUAGGAUGCUGGCGUAAUGGUUGUAAGCGACCCGUCUUGAAACACGGACCAAGGAGUCUAACAUCUAUGCGAGUGUUUGGGUGUCAAACCCAUACGCGUAAUGAAAGUGAACGGAGGUGAGAACCCUUAAGGGUGCAUCAUCGACCGAUCCUGAUGUCUUCGGAUGGAUUUGAGUAAGAGCAUAGCUGUUGGGACCCGAAAGAUGGUGAACUAUGCGUGAAUAGGGUGAAGCCAGAGGAAACUCUGGUGGAGGC
rnacentral:rRNA from 1 species